rnacentral:lncRNA from 1 species
AUGCCCUGCCAGCGGAGAAGCUGCAGGCACUGCUCCGGUGCCCGCGCACUCACCCAUGCAGAGGAAGUGCCCGACCUGCACCCGGCGGUGCUGCAGGGACGCGCACGUCAGCAGGAAGCAGAGCAGGUGGAAAGCCGCCAGCCCCAGCAGCCAGGGCUCCGACCAGUCCGUGCUCUGCGGGCACAGGGAAGCGGCUCAGGCAGCGCCGGGACAAGGGGCCGCGCCCCGCAGGCUCCCGCACCAAGGAGCGCGCCCCCAGACACGGCCUCCCCCCUCCCCGCCGCACGGCCCCGCUGCCCCGGGCGGCCCCGCUCCCCCUCCCCGCCGCAUGGCCCCGCUGCCCCGGGCGGCCCCGCUCCCCCUCACCGCCAGCACGGCCCCGCUGCCCCGGGCGGCCCCGCUCCCCCUCACCGCCAGCACGGCCGACAGCCCCGGCGGGCCGCGCACCGGCGGCUCCAUGGCGGCGGCGGCACCGCCGGCUCUCGCGAGACUCGGGCAGCCGCCGCUUCUCCCGCGGGGCGAUGGCGGGAAGGGGGCGGCGGGGCUCGGAGUGGCUCCUCCUUCCCGAGGCGGCGAACCGCAGAUGUCCCGAGGGUCGGGGCGCGGGCUGAGGCGAACGAACCGCAGAUGUCCCGAGGUUCGGGGCACGGGCCGAGUGGCUCCGCACAGCCCGGUGCCUCCUUCCUCUGCGGGUGCCUCGAGUCGCGUUGUGAGCGCCGGGAGCCACCAAUGUCACCCUGCGCUCUGCGGGUCCCGCUGCACUCGGUGGCCCGGCACUGGUGUUAACUUUCGGUCUCCUCUCAGCAGGACCCGGAGUUGGCUUUAGUGAUGGCAGUGCAGGAAAAAAAGAGCUUUUAGCCCAGCUGGGAGUUAUUUAAAAACAAACACAAUUCAGCUCUCCAGGCAGGAACUUAAGUCAAAUGGAAAACACUUCUCUCCAAGUAAUGCCCACCGUGACCCCCCGCACACCUCGGGGCGCAGCGGGGCCCCUCCGGUUCUCGCCACUACAGCAGAGCUCAAGGAUACAUUUUUUAACUUUGGAAGUUGAAAAAAAAAUGAAAAUACUACAAUGCAAAGGGAACACGACACAGGUUAAACCUCUAAUUUAUAAUUCCAUUUGCUAAAUGCAUCUAGGUCUGGAAGAACCAACUAUUCUUAAGACUUACAACUUAAAGAGCAUUUCAAACUCAGAUUCCUAACAAUGAAGCCAAAUCUAAUCUAAAGGGUUAGAUCUGGUGAACAAACACUAUUUUGAUGUAUAUUGACAUUCUGCUUUCAUUAUUUUUUUUCUGACAUUUUAGCUUAUCAGAUGUGAGGCUUUGACUUCUUUUUCCCAAAUGUUUUGAAGUGCACGUAUAAGUAAAUAUUACAGAUACUCUUAGUUUAGUUUACCAUAUAGCCAGAUGUGGGUCAUCAGUGUGACCUGGUCUUGCUUCACUGUCAGAUUUCUGCUAUUUAAUAUGAGAUACCUGAAACCGAUGAUUUUUUAAUUACUAUUUUAAGGUUUUUUUGUUUUUGGUUUUGUUAGUCUUUUUCUCAACAAAAAUAAUACCUGGGGGCUAAUCAAGGCUUUCACUGGAAAUGUUGUAAAAUUAAGUAAGGUGGUAAGAGUUCUGCUACUAUUGUCUUUAAAUUGUCUAAAACUAGGGGAA